rnacentral:lncRNA from 1 species
ACGCCAAUUUUUCGCGGUGGAGAGAAAAUUUACUGUCGACGGGACAUAUUGUUAAAGGCGACGGUCACGUCGUCGCUAGUGCGUCAAACUCAACAGGACUAAUAUUGACGACUAUACUGUUGAGAAUGAGUCUUUUACUAAAACCCCUUAUUUUCGAAGGCAGCGACACCUAUUUUUUGCCCCUCUCUUCUGAUUUUCAAUCAGAUUUUUGUUUUUCCCUCUCAAUUCUUCAAUCACAGUAGACCAUUUGCUCAAUUGAUAAUCCCAUUUCUCCUAAUCGAUUCUCACAAUUCAGCCCAUCACCAUCCCAGUGGAGAUUACAGUUCGAGCACCCCAUCAUCAUCAUCUCAAUUCGCCUAGUCUGCCUCUCCCAGCUGCGCCCGGCACCGGCUGUACUCCGACCGACCGAACCUUUGCCCCCCCUCUGCCUUCUUUUUCUUUACUCUUGGUUGCCCAUUACAAGGUAAGCUUAUUUUCUCGUGAUAAUUGAUUUUUAAGUUGGUUUUGAUUCUUGAAAUUAGCGGGUAUGCACUUUUGGUAUGUGAAGAUUUGAUGUUUACAAGAUUUUUUAGUUUCUAUUUUGGUUCAUUUACUUUUAUGAAUUGCUUGCUUUUGGUGCCAGUUUAACAUUUUUUACCUAAUUCUUUUGUUUUGGUUGGAACAAGAGAUUUCUUCUAGAGCAUUAUCAUUGUUCUAGACUUCAAUUCUUCACUAAUUAACUAAAAGCAAUUGGAAAGUUGUAUUACAUUUUCACAAGUCAUGCAAGUAGCAUUUUGAUAAUCAAGAAUUUUUGGCUUUAGGGCAUAAAUAAUACUUAUCGCUGCUAAUUUAUUAUUUAUCUUAAUUUCUCGUAUUGUCAGCAGUGUAGUUGUGAAACAUUCCUCUUAUUACUUUUAUAGUUCCCACCAAGUUUUUAAUACUUGUAUUCGACUCUAAAUUCAGAUUAUUUUUGUCUUGUGAUUUUCCCAAAAGUUUCCUUUUUGCAGAACAUUUAUAAAUCUAUGUCCACCACCUUGUGGCGGUAAUGAUGCCGAUAUAGAUACUUGCCGAGAUGAGAAAAUGGCUUUCCUCCUCAAGAUAAGGGCUAUAGCUGCCAUUCUCAUCCCUAGAGUUUGUGGUGUAGCAAUCCCAUUACAAGGUUCCCCAAAACUUACAUUUCUCAUUUGGAGAAGAUUAUCCUUGUAAUCUUGAUUUUUAUUUGUAAAUAUUGUUUAGUAUGAACUUUCAUACUCUUAAACUAACUGAUGAACCUAUAAAAAAUACAGAAUCUGAGUUCGAAUCAUG